GAUGAACGCUGGCGGCGUGCCUAAUACAUGCAAGUCGAGCGAACGGACGAGAAGCUUGCUUCUCUGAUGUUAGCGGCGGACGGGUGAGUAACACGUGGAUAACCUACCUAUAAGACUGGGAUAACUUCGGGAAACCGGAGCUAAUACCGGAUGAUAUUUUGAACCGCAUGGUUCAAAAGUGUAAGACGGUCUUGCUGUCACUUAUAGAUGGAUCCGCGCUGCAUUAGCUAGUUGGUAAGGUAACGGCUUACCAAGGCAACGAUGCAUAGCCGACCUGAGAGGGUGAUCGGCCACACUGGAACUGAGGCACGGUCCAGACUCCUACGGGAGGCAGCAGUAGGGAAUCUUCCGCAAGGGGCGAAAGCCUGACGGAGCAACGCCGCGUGAGUGAUGAAGGUCUUCGGAUCGUAAAACUCUGUUAUUAGGGAAGAACAUAUGUGUAAGUAACUGUGCACAUCUUGACGGUACCUAAACAGAAAGCCACGGCUAACUACGUG
rnacentral:rRNA from 1 species